UUGAUCGUCGAAACUUCCAGGCUCAAGAGCAACUCGUGCACCGGAGCUGAGGCGUUCUUUGAUGUCGGCUCCACUGCUCCAUACACUCUGUCAGCAAACAAUGAGUUCUUCGCAAGAGGUUGUUCUGUAGAGGGUUCUUACACAGCAGAUGCGGAGAGUACACAGCACUGUGAAACGGGCUGCCAACCCGGUCGCGAGCCGAAUAUCCGGAAUCCUUUCUGUGAAGAACUCGAGUGCUGCAUCCUGACUAUUCCGUCUGGAAAACGCAGCGUUAUCAUCAAGAGCAGUGCUAACAACGGUACUAGCGACUGCGGCUACUCUAGCGUGAUCUUUCCACCGAGCUACCAAGUAGUAACUUACGGGAUUGAGUUGCUUUGGGCCAUGCCAGGUAACUGCUCCACUUCUGCGCAUCUGUGCUCUCUGAAUGCUACGUGCUUGGAUGCACCCCAUCAACCUGGGUUUUUCAACUGCAUUUGUAACACAGGAUCAGGAAAUGGCUUCUCGAAUGGAACGGGCUGCUCAGGUAAGCAAAAAAAUCUAGAAUACCUUUCUUAUCCCUCACCAGCACAAGAUUCUUAAGUUGUUUUGUAUAGCUGUAGUGGAUCACUGUGCGAGCUCUCCCUGCUCGGAGGGAGCAAUCUGCGUCAACGACCUAAACUCGUUUACAUGCAAGUGUAGACAAGGAUACAAAGGAAACGCUACCAGUGGCUGCAGGAAAACCGACGUCUUUCAGCACAUCACGAGUGGACCUGUUCUUCUGGUCGUAGCUGCUGCGAUACUAGCCGGCUCUAUCUGCGUCUGCAUCGUAAGAACGAAAAAGUUAGGCCGCAAGAAGGGCUUGUUUCCAAAGCUCGGAAGCCUCGCUCACCUCCAGCUCGAGUUCAAGCAGAACGCCACCUUCUUCUCCUUCGACGAGCUCUCGAGAGCAACGCAGAACUUCAAGGCCGAGCUCAUGCUGGGAACCGGCAGCUUUGGCACAGUCUUCCAAGGAGUCCUGGACGACGACACUCCAGUGGCGAUCAAGAAAGCC
rnacentral:lncRNA from 1 species